UUUAAGACUUGUUUUAAAAGGUGCUUUUUAACACUCUUAAAAAGCACCUUUUAAAACAAGUCUUAAA